GCCCGGGUGGUGAAAUUGGUAGACACAAGAGACUUAAAAUCUCUCGGCCGUAAGGCUGUCCCGGUUCAAGUCCGGGUCCGGGCACCA
rnacentral:tRNA from 1 species